rnacentral:rRNA from 1 species
AUGACCAGGGGCGAGUUACCGGAGGAUGAAACUUUGGCCAGGCAGAUAACCCGGCGGUCUAAGUCAAUGACCAUUGUCAAUGGCGAGUUGCAGAAUCGCAGUGUCAUAGGGGCAUUUCAACGUUGUGUUUCUCCUGAGGAAGGUUGUGAGAUCUUACGAGGGAUUCAUGAAGGAGAUUGUGGUCAUCAUGCCGGCUCUAAGUAUCUUGUAGCCAAGGCUUUCCGUCAUGGUUUUUACUGGCUAACGGCUCAUGCUGGCGCAGAGGAUUUGGUCAGUAAAUGUGAUGGUUGUCAGAAAUUCUCACGACGAGCUCAUGUGCCAACUCAAGAAUUGAGGAUGAUUCCAAUUGCUUGGCCGUUUGCGGUCUGGGGGCUUGAUAUGGUUGGACCUUUCAAAAGGUCCAAGGAUAAAAGACCCACCUUUUGGUGGCGGUUGACAAAUUUACAAAGUGGGUUGAAGCAGAGCCAGUUAGUAAGUGUGAUGCGGCGGCGGCGGUUCAAUUCAUCAAAAAGGCGAUUUUCCGUUUUGGUUUUCCCCACAGCAUUAUAA